rnacentral:tRNA from 1 species
UCCACGGUAGUUCAGCGGUAGAACACCUGCCUGUUAAGCAGGUCGUCGAAGGUUCGAUCCCUUCCCGUGGAGCCA